AUUGAACGCUGGCGGCAUGCUUUACACAUGCAAGUCGAACGGUAACAGGUCUCUAGGUGCUGACGAGUGGCGAACGGUGGUGUAAUGCAUCGGAAUGUGCCCAGUCGUGUGGGUGAACUAGUGGAUAGAGUAGCUAAUACCGCAUACGAUCUAUGGUGUACUGCGGGGGACCGCAAGGCCUCGCGCGUGUGUUUGUUCGGAUGUCAGAUUAGUUAGUUGGUGGGGUAAAGGGUCACCAAGGCAACGAUCUGUAGCUGGUCUGAGAGGAGAAGCAGCCACACUGGAACUGAGACACGGCCCAGACUCCUACGGGAGGACGCAGUGGGCACAUUUGGACAAUGGGCGCAAGCCUGAUCCAGCAAUGCCGCGUGGCAGAAGAAGGAACUCGGGUUGUAAACUGCUUUUGUUCGGAACGACAAAAAACUGGUUAAUACCCGGGGGUAAUGACGGUACCGUAAGAAUAAGCACCGGCUAACUACGUG
rnacentral:rRNA from 1 species